rnacentral:rRNA from 1 species
CUCGGCUCAGUAACACGUCGUUAAUCUGCCCUAAGGUCAGGGAUACCCACGGGAAACUGUGGUUAAUACCUGAUAAGGAACACAUACUGGAAUGUGGUGUUCUCUAAACUCGAGCCUUAGGAUGAGACGGCGGCCGAUUAGGCUGUUGGUGGUGUAAAGGACCACCAAACCAAAGAUCGGUACGGGCCAUGAGAGUGGUAGCCCGGAGAGGGACACUGAGAUACUGGUCCCAGCCCUACGGGGUGCAGCAGGCGCGAAACCUUUACAAUGCACGCAAGUGUGAUAAGGGAAUCCCAAGUGCUCAAGCAUUGCUUGGGCUUUUGCCAAGUGUAAAUAGCUUGGCGAAUAAGUGGUGGGAAAGACUGGUGCCAGCCGCCGCGGUAACACCAGCGCCACGAGUGGCAAUCACGUUUAUUGGGCCUAAAGCGUCCGUAGCAGGUUUCAUAAAUCUCUUGUGAAAUUGCUAGGCUUAACCUAGCAGCUGGCAGGAGACACUGUGAGACUCGAGACCGGGAAGGGUAAGAGGUAUUCCUGAGGGAGCGGUAAAAUGCUAUAAUCUCAGGAGGACCACCUGUGGCGAAGGCGUCUUACUAGAACGGAUCUGACUGUGAGGGACGAAAGCUAGGGGAGCAAACCGGAUUAGAUACCCGAGUAGUCCUAGCCGUAAACGCUGUGAGCUAGGUGUUGCGUAUUCUACGGGAAUGCGCAGUGUCGAAAGGAAGCUAUUAAGCUCACCGCCUGGGAAGUACGGUCGCAAGACUGAAACUUAAAGGAAUUGGCGGGGGAG